rnacentral:rRNA from 1 species
AUGCCGAGGAGGGGUAGGCGGGUGGGUAUCGCUUAUGUCCAUGACGACAAAGAGCGUGAUGUCACCUUCUUCAAGCGACGUGGCGGUUUAUUCAAGAGCGCUGCCGACCUCAAUGCCAUCACUGGUGCUAGGGUUGCUGUCAUCCUGGAGACAGGAAAGAAGAAAAUGUACUCAUUCAGGACGCCAUCAGCUGGCCCCAUUGUCGAUGUUUUUUUAUCAGCGGCACCGCUAGGAAAUCGACUCACUAAGAAGGAAACAAGUGCAAAGAUUUCCCAACUACAAAGUGAGGUGGCUCGACUUGAUAUGGAGCAUGGGAUGGAGGAUAAGAGAAAUGAACUCUCCAUCCAACACGUGAAACAAAUCCAAGAAUAG